UACGUAGGGGGCCAGCGUUGUCCGAAGUUACUGGGCGUAAAGAGCGUGUAGGCGGGUCUUUAAGUGAGAGGUGAAAGGUUCAGGGCUCAACCCGAACACUGCCUUUCAUACUGGGGACCUUGAGGGCGGGAGAGGCGAGUGGAAUGGUCGGUGUAGCGGUGAAAUGCGUAGAUAUCGAUCGGAACACCCAUGGCGAAGGCAGCUCGCUGGCCCGCAUCUGACGCUGAGACGCGAAAGCGUGGGGA
rnacentral:rRNA from 1 species